rnacentral:rRNA from 1 species
AUUGAACGCUGGCGGCAGGCCUAACACAUGCAAGUCGAGCGGAUGAAGGGAGAUUGCUCCUGGAUUCAGCGGCGGACGGGUGAGUAAUGCCUAAGAAUCUGCCUGGUAGUGGGGGAUAACGUCCGGAAACGGGCGCUAAUACCGCAUACGCCCUGAGGGAGAAAGUGGGGGAUCUUCGGACCUCACGCUAUCAGAUGAGCCUAGGUCGGAUUAGCUAGUUGGUGGGGUAAAGGCCUACCAAGGCGACGAUCCGUAACUGGUCUGAGAGGAUGAUCAGUCACACUGGAACUGAGACACGGUCCAGACUCCUACGGGAGGCAGCAGUGGGGAAUAUUGGACAAUGCGCGAAAGCCUGAUCCAGCCAUGCCGCGUGUGUGAAGAAGGUCUUCGGAUUGUAAAGCACUUUUAGUUGGGAAGAAGAGCAGUAAGUUAAUACCUUGCUGUUUUGACGUUACCAACAGAAUAAGCACCGGCUAACUUCGUG